rnacentral:rRNA from 1 species
GAUGAACGCUGGCGGCGUGCUUAACACAUGCAAGUCGAGCGAACGGACGCGACGUUUGUUUUUUUCUCGUUAGCGGCGCACGGGUGAGUAACAUGUGGAUAAUCCACUUAUCAGUCUGGGAUCAUUUCGGGAAACCGGAGCUUACCCCGGAUAAUCUCCUGAACCGUAUGGUUCAAUAGUGAAAGUCGGCCUUGCUGUCACUAAUCGAUGGAUCCGGGCUGCAUUAGCUAGUUGGUAAGGUAACGGCUUAUCAAGGCUACGAUGCAUAGCCGACCUGAGAGAGGGAUCGGCCACACGGGAACUGGAACACGGACCAGACUCCUGCGGGAGGCAGCAGUAGGGAAUCUGCCGCAAUAGGCGGAAGCCUGACGGAGCGACGCCACGUGAGUGAUGGAGGUCUUCGGAGCGUAAAGCUCUGUUAUGGGUGAAGAACAGAUGUGUAAGUAGCUGUAGACAGCUUGACGGUACCUAGUCAAAAAGCCACGGCUAACUACGUG